rnacentral:misc_RNA from 1 species
GAUGAAGAACGUAGCGAAAUGCGAUAAGUAAUGUGAAUUGCAGAAUUCAGUGAAUCAUCGAAUCUUUGAACGCACAUUGCGCCCUUUGGUAUUCCGAAGGGCACACCUGUUCGAGCGUCAUUACACCAAUCAAGUUUUACUUGGUAUUGGGCUCUUUUGUCCCUAAGAAAUUGGGGACAGGCCUUAAAGACAUUGGCGGCAUAGUCCGGCUUCGAGCGUAGCAAAAAACAUCGCUUUUGGAGUUAACUGGAUUAUUGUUCUUUUGUCCAUAAAAAAAACUAGAGUAGAAAUACUCUAUACUUUUUUCAAAGGUUGACCUCGGAUCAGGUGGGGAUACCCGCUGAACUUAAGCAUAUCAAUAAGCGGAGGA